UACAGAGGAUGCAAGCGUUAUCCGGAAUGAUUGGGCGUAAAGCGUCUGUAGGUGGCUUUUUAAGUCCGCCGUCAAAUCCCAGGGCUCAACUCUGGACAGGCGGUGGAAACUACCAAGCUGGAGUACGGUAGGGGCAGAGGGAAUUUCCGGUGGAGCGGUGAAAUGCGUAGAGAUCGGAAAGAACACCAGUGGCGAAGGCGGCUCACUGGCCCGAUACUGACGCUGAGGUGCGAAAGCGUGGGGAGCAAACAGG
rnacentral:rRNA from 1 species